rnacentral:lncRNA from 1 species
GUACAUAUGGGGUCUCGAGCCCCUUUAAGCUCUUCCAGUUCUUUCUCUGAUUCCUUCAACAGGGGUCCUAUUCUCAAUUCAGUGGUUUGCUGCUGGCAUACGCCUCUGUGUUUGCUGUAUUCUGGCUGUGUCUCUCGGGAGAGAUCUACAUCCGGCUCCUGUCGGCCUGCACUUCUUUGCUUCAUCCAUCUUGUCUAAUUGGAUGGCUGUAUAUGCAUGGGCCAAAUGUGGGGCAGGCUCUGAAUGGGUGUUCCUUCUGUGUCUGUUUUAAUCUUUGCCUCUCUCUUCCCUGCCAAGGGUAUUCUUGUUCCCCUUUUAAAGAAGGAGUGAAGCAUUCACAUUUUGAUCAUCCGUCUUGAGUUUCAUUUGUUCUAGGCAUCUAGGGUAAUUCAAGCAUUUGGGCUAAUAGCCAUUUAUCAAUGAGUGCAUACCAUGUGUGUUUUUCUGUGAUUGGGUUACCUCACUCAGGAUGAUAUUUUCCAGUUCCGACCAU